rnacentral:lncRNA from 1 species
UAGUGUUUGCAACUUGAGCUCUUCAUAAGAGGUAAUCGAACAAUUGGCCAGGUAAGCAGGUGGAAGGCUCCCCUUACUCAGAGAGUAAGGUCCUAAUUACGUAACCACCUUUCAUGCUUUCCUAGACACCAAUUAGAUCAAUUAAUCUAAUAUGACUUGCUCAUGUUGGUUCACUCUCGACUUGAUUGAGGAGGUUUUAAUUUAGGUCUCAAUUGGGUUUGCUACAUCACAUGUAAACCUAUCUACCCUGCUUUCAUUCACAUCACAUGCAAACGGCACAUCAUAGGCAGUUAUAAUCGCAGCAUCAAA